rnacentral:rRNA from 1 species
AGAGUUUGAUCCUGGCUCAGGACGAACGCUGGCGGCGCGCCUAACACAUGCAAGUCGAACGGAGCUUAGAGAGCUUGCUUUUUAAGCUUAGUGGCGAACGGGUGAGUAACGCGUGAGUAACCUGCCCUAGAGUGGGGGACAACAGUUGGAAACGACUGCUAAUACCGCAUAAGCCCACGGUACCGCAUGGUACUGAGGGAAAAGGAUUUAUUCGCUUUAGGAUGGACUCGCGUCCAAUUAGCUAGUUGGUGAGGUAACGGCCCACCAAGGCGACGAUUGGUAGCCGGACUGAGAGGUUGAACGGCCACAUUGGGACUGAGACACGGCCCAGACUCCUACGGGAGGCAGCAGUGGGGGAUAUUGCACAAUGGGGGAAACCCUGAUGCAGCGACGCCGCGUGGAGGAAGAAGGUUUUCGGAUUGUAAACUCCUGUCGUUAGGGACGAUAAUGACGGUACCUAACAAGAAAGCACCGGCUAACUACGUGCCAGCAGCCGCGGUAAAACGUAGGGUGCAAGCGUUGUCCGGAAUUACUGGGUGUAAAGGGAGCGCAGGCGGGAAGACAAGUUGGAAGUGAAAACCAUGGGCUCAACCCAUGAAUUGCUUUCAAAACUGUUUUUCUUGAGUAGUGCAGAGGUAGAUGGAAUUCCCGGUGUAGCGGUGGAAUGCGUAGAUAUCGGGAGGAACACCAGUGGCGAAGGCGGUCUACUGGGCACCAACUGACGCUGAGGCUCGAAAGCAUGGGUAGCAAACAGGAUUAGAUACCCUGGUAGUCCAUGCCGUAAACGAUGAUUACUAGGUGUUGGGGGAUUGACCCCCUCAGUGCCGCAGUUAACACAAUAAGUAAUCCACCUGGGGAGUACGACCGCAAGGUUGAAACUCAAAGGAAUUGACG